UACGGGGGGGGCAAGCGUUGUUCGGAAUUACUGGGCGUAAAGGGCUUGUAGGUGGCCAACUAAGUCAGACGUGAAAUCCCUCGGCUUAACUGGGGAACUGCGUCUGAUACUGGAUGGCUUGGAUUUGGGAGAGGGAUGCGGAAUUCCAGGUGUAGCGGUGAAAUGCGUAGAUAUCUGGAGGAACACCGGUGGCGAAGGCGGCAUCCUGGACCAAUAUUGACGCUGAGGAGCGAAAGCCAGGGGAGCAAACGGG
rnacentral:rRNA from 1 species